CGGGUGUAGCUCAGUUGGUAGAGCAUCAGCCUUCCAAGCUGAGGGUCGAGAGUUCGAAUCUCUUCGCCC
rnacentral:tRNA from 1 species